rnacentral:rRNA from 1 species
CUCUCCCUCUUGCUUCAGGCUUAACACAUGCAAGUCGAGCGGGCCCUUCGGGGUCAGCGGCAGACGGGUGAGUAACACGUGGGAACGUACCCUUUGGUUCGGAAUAACGCUGGGAAACUAGCGCUAAUACCGGAUACGCCCUUUUGGGGAAAGGCUUGCUGCCGAAGGAUCGGCCCGCGUCUGAUUAGCUAGUUGGUGGGGUAAUGGCCUACCAAGGCGACGAUCAGUAGCUGGUCUGAGAGGAUGAUCAGCCACACUGGGACUGAGACACGGCCCAGACUCCUACGGGAGGCAGCAGUGGGGAAUAUUGGACAAUGGGCGCAAGCCUGAUCCAGCCAUGCCGCGUGAGUGAUGAAGGCCUUAGGGUUGUAAAGCUCUUUUGUCCGGGACGAUAACGACGGUACCGGAAGAAUAAGCCCCGGCUAACUUCGUG